rnacentral:lncRNA from 1 species
UAACGGAUUGAUAGCUCUGUGAUUAAGCUUGGGCCUGGAAUGAUUUAACAUAGUUCUUCGACUCCUAGCUCUGACAUUGUUAAUAUACCUAUUUGAACAGGUUUGCGGUUUUCCUAGGAUAAAGGUUGAUCAUUUAAUCACAAGCAAAGUUAAGAAAAGAAAAAUGAUUAUAGAAUAUUAAGAGCAUUUGAUACUAAAGAUUUCUCCUAUUUCUGUUAAGCCAAUUAUGAUCUCUAUGUAGAAUCAAGAGAAAUUAAUUUCUUUGGGAUAUAAUUAUGGCAUUUUAAUCCAAGGUUGGAAGUUUGGAAUUCUUUUGAAGGAGAUCAAAAGAACUUACUACGUGUGGUAAAUAGAAAGGAUC